rnacentral:rRNA from 1 species
GACGUAGGGUGCAAGCGUUGUCCGGAUUUAUUGGGCGUAAAGAGCUCGUAGGCGGCUCGUUGCGUCGACUGUGAAAACCCGCGGCUUAACCGCGGGCUUGCAGUUGAUACGGGCAGGCUAGAGUUCGGUAGGGGAGACUGGAAUUCCUGGUGUAGCGGUGAAAUGCGCAGAUAUCAGGAGGAACACCGGUGGCGAAGGCGGCUCACUGGCCCGGAACUGACGCUGAGGUGCGAAAGCGUGGGGAGCAAACAGG